GACAUAUGUGGAGCAUGUAGAUCCACGCGACCAGGUUGGCUCACAUUACCCUCUCUCCCACACAAGGCUCGGACCGGCGGCUGCUCUGUAAUUUCACACAGGCGCGGCGCGGCGGCGAUUCCCCACCGGCGAUAUGUCGACGGACGGACUUGAGCUCGACGGGAGGGGGGAGCACACAUCGGCGGAUGGGGUUGUGAUGUGUUUCCAGUGGAAUCCCAAGAUUCCAUGAGUGCACCAGUUCUUGAGCUCGAGAAGGGCGGCGAAGGACGUGGAGCUGGAGAUGGACAGAGAUACGAGGUCUGCUUUGAAGCUACCAGCGGCCGGACGAGGAGUCUGUAGGCAAAGAGAAACAGAGCACUUAGGUGGUUCCCCGCUCCGGCGGCGGCUCAACUCUAAUCUGCAGAACACCGGAUCUGCCAAGGGCAAGGCCCUCGUCCACGGAUCUGGAGGGGAAAAAUCAUUUUCUUCGUUGUUUCGGCCGGUGAGGCUGUAUCACACGUCAAUUACUUGCGCUUUUCUCCUAGCUAUUGUUCAUCAGUUUCAGAUUUGAACUUUUUUGGUGAUUUUGUAAUAUUGUGAUCUUGUAUCCUGAACCCUGAAGUAGAAGGCAUUUAAUCCGAUGCAUUUUCCUACUGUUGUGAUCUUGUAAUAUUGCCUUCUGGCCAAAUCAGCAAAAUCCCUGGUUGAAGCUGCGCAAGCUCUGUUUCUUUGGCUGUUGUUCUCUCUCAGCAAUCCAUUCGACUCGGGUAUAUGUUUGUAAUUAUUGUAAUGGAUUUGUACCAUUUGUGAACCAUGUCAAAUUGUUAAGGUGGGUGAUGGGUAUUACAACUAUGUAUGCAUGGUUGCUAGUUCUAUGCGUAGAACUUGAUCUGUGUAUUAGUCAAAACCGACACAUAUUGUGUGUUAGCUUAACAGGAAGAAACUGCAAUUGUCAAUGAGAGCAAUAUGUCGAGAAGGGAGAUGGCCCAGUAGUCUAAUGAUUUCUGUAAUGGAGUGUUUGAAUCAUCUUCGUCUGGCAAACUAUUGUUAAUUGCUUUUCCCAACCGUGACCAUCCAUUCUUGGUGUAG